GAUUAAAGGAGCUAACACUUGGAAGAUACUCAGAAUGGUCCUGAUACAUAGAAAGCCCUCCAUAGAUGUUAUCCCUGAACAUUGUUGUCACUGGGAGACUGUUUUGCAAGGCUAACUCGUUGGUACCAAAAGUGAGAGGACAGAAAGUGCAGCAAAGCUGAAUGGCUCCAGUCCAGACCAGCCUAGACCGGCCAACCAGCAGCUGAACCUCACCACUGCCCCCCUCCCCCGCCCCACACUGUGAACUAGCCCAGCUGAGAUCAGCAGAGCUGUGCAGCCAGCCAGGCAAGUACAUGAAUAAAAGAAGCAGUAAAUAAUUGUUGCUUUAAAGCAGAAAUGUUGCGAUUGUUCCUUAGGCAUUCUUACUGUAGCCAAAGUUAACUGAUAUAAGAUGACCAUCACCCAGUUGGCACUGGGUAGGUGAGGUCUUGCACAGGUGUUUCACCGUGUGUGUGCGCGUGUGUUUCUCCGCACCGCUCUGGAGUUCUUGAGUAACAGUGGCUAGGUCUGAUCCAUUCUGCUGCCUGGCAGUUAGGACAACCACUUGAUAGAGUUCUGAUUGAAGGCAGGUAUAGGCAGAUCAUGAAAUUGAGGCACAAAGAGAGGGAUAGCUUUUCCUUGAUAAAUGAAACCUAUGAAAUGGGGACCCGUAUACUCUGGGGAGAUGCAUCCCUUGGUCAAGGGCAGUCUGGGAGCCCAAGGACAGAGACUCACCUGCCAGGCAGGCCUCGGUGUCUCCACAGUCAAUGAGGAGGUAGCGCGGGCUUUCA
rnacentral:lncRNA from 10 species